CCUACGGGAGGCAGCAGUGGGGAAUUUUGGACAAUGGGCGCAAGCCUGAUCCAGCAAUGCCGCGUGAGUGAAGAAGGCCUUCGGGUUGUAAAGCUCUUUUGUCAGGGAAGAAACGGUGGGGGCUAAUAUCUCCUACUAAUGACGGUACCUGAAGAAUAAGCACCGGCUAACUACGUGCCAGCAGCCGCGGUAAUACGUAGGGUGCAAGCGUUAAUCGGAAUUACUGGGCGUAAAGCGUGCGCAGGCGGUUUUGUAAGUCUGUCGUGAAAGCCCCGGGCUCAACCUGGGAAUUGCGAUGGAGACUGCAAGGCUUGAAUCUGGCAGAGGGGGGUAGAAUUCCACGUGUAGCAGUGAAAUGCGUAGAGAUGUGGAGGAACACCGAUGGCGAAGGCAGCCCCCUGGGUCAAAAUUGACGCUCAUGCACGAAAGCGUGGGGAGCAAACAGGAUUAGAUACCCUGGUAGUCCACGCCCUAAACGAUGUCUACUAGUUGUCGGGUUUUAAUAACUUGGUAACGCAGCUAACGCGUGAAGUAGACCGCCUGGGGAGUACGGUCGCAAGNUUAAAACUNAAAUUGAAUUGACGGNNGNGNGNGCGAGNGACGACGAGGAGAG
rnacentral:rRNA from 1 species